AAUCCUGUCCGGAAUCGAGACAGGUGCUAACCACACCCAUCUUAGUCAAGCAAUAUUUAGUGAGCACGUCAGCUAAGCAGAGGCUGUGAAAGUUAUGUGCUCUGACAGAAAGUCCAGAAAAGAUUUCAGGAAAUUUGGGCUUUGAUUUGAAGCACACGGAGCGCGCGGUCAUCGGGGAUGAAGCGGGAGAGAAGGCAUCGGCACCUGCCGCUUGCUGUUUUCUUCGCGCUGUGGUGGUGUUCAGACGCUCAAAGAAUCACUGGAGUGACGCCAAGAGUCGGAAGCCUGAACGGAGCAACGAGGCUUACCAUUGAGGG